GGCUCAGAUUGAACGCUGGCGGCGUGCCUUACACAUGCAAGUCGAACGGCAGCGGGGACUUCGGUCCGCCGGCGAGUGGCGAACGGGUGAGUAAUAUACUCGGAACGUACCUUUCAGUGGGGGAUAACGUAGCGAAAGUUACGCUAAUACCGCAUAUUCUGUGAGCAGGAAAGCAGGGGAUCGCAAGACCUUGCGCUGAUUGAGCGGCCGAUAUCAGAUUAGCUAGUUGGUGAGGUAAAGGCUCACCAAGGCGACGAUCUGUAGCGGGUCUGAGAGGAUGAUCCGCCACACUGGAACUGAGACACGGUCCAGACUCCUACGGGAGGCAGCAGUGGGGAAUUUUGGACAAUGGGGGCAACCCUGAUCCAGCCAUGCCGCGUGAGUGAAGAAGGCCUUCGGGUUGUAAAGCUCUUUCGGCCGGGAAGAAAUCGCACAGGUUAAUACCCUGUGUGGAUGACGGUACCGGAAUAAGAAGCACCGGCUAACUACGUGCCAGCAGCCGCGGUAAUACGUAGGGUGCGAGCGUUAAUCGGAAUUACUGGGCGUAAAGCGUGCGCAGGCGGUUUUGUAAGACAGGCGUGAAAUCCCCGGGCUCAACCUGGGAACUGCGUUUGUGACUGCAAGGCUAGAGUAUGGCAGAGGGGGGUGGAAUUCCACGUGUAGCAGUGAAAUGCGUAGAGAUGUGGAGGAACACCGAUGGCGAAGGCAGCCCCCUGGGCCAAUACUGACGCUCAUGCACGAAAGCGUGGGUAGCAAACAGGAUUAGAUACCCUGGUAGUCCACGCCCUAAACGAUGUCAACUAGGUGUUGGGUGGGUAAAACCAUUUAGUACCGGAGCUAACGCGUGAAGUUGACCGCCUGGGGAGUA
rnacentral:rRNA from 1 species